AAGUGCGGCGUGCUAUACUGCAAGUCGAGCGGACCGACGGGAGCUUGCUCCCUUAGGUCAGCGGCGGACGGGUGAGUAACACGUGGGUAACCUGCCUGUAAGACUGGGAUAACUCCGGGAAACCGGGGCUAAUACCGGAUGCUUGAUUGAACCGCAUGGUUCCAUCCUAAAAGGGGGCUUUUAACUACCCCUUUCCGAUGGACCCCCGGCGCAUUAACUAAUUGGUGAGGUAACGGCUCCCCCAGGCGACCAUGCGUAACCCACCUGAAAAGGUGAUCGGCCCCCCUGGGACUGAAACCCGGCCCCAACUCCUACGGGAAGCAGCAGUAGGGAAUCUUCCCCAAUGGACGAAAGUCUGACGGAACAACGCCCCGUGAGUGAUGAAGGGUUUCCGAUCGUAAAACUCUGGUGGUAGGGAAGAACAAGUACCGGUCCAAUAAGGCGGGACCUUGACGGGACCUAACCAGAAAGCCCCGGCUAACUACGUGCCAGCAGCCGCGGUAAUACGUAAGUGGCAAGCGUUGGCCGGAAUUAUUGGGCGUAAAGCGCGCGCAGGCGGUUUCUUAAGUCUGAUGUGAAAGCCCCCGGCUCAACCGGGGAAGGUCAUUGGAAACUGGGGAACUUGAAUGCAGAAAAAGAAAAUGGAAUUCCACGUGUAACGGUGAAAUGCCUAAAAAUGUGGAAGAACACCAGUGGCGAAGGCGACUCUCUGGUCUGGAACUGACGCUGAAGCGCGAAAGCGUGGGGAGCGAACAGGAUUAGAUACCCUGGUAGUCCACGCCGUAAACGAUGAGUGCUAAGUGUUAGAGGGUUUCCGCCCUUUAGUGCUGCAGCAAACGCAUUAAGCACUCCGCCUGGGGAGUACGGUCGCAAGACUGAAACUCAAAGGAAUUGACGGGGGCCCGCCAAGCGGGGGAACAUGUGGUUAAUUCCAAGCACCCGAAGAACCUUACCAGGUCUUGACUCCUCUGACAACCUAAAAAUAGGCUUCCCUUCGGGGCAAAAGGACGGGGGGGGCUGGGUUGCCCCACCCCGGCCGGGAAAAAUGGGGUU
rnacentral:rRNA from 1 species